UACAGAGGUCUCAAGCGUUGUUCGGAAUCACUGGGCGUAAAGGGUGCGUAGGUGGCGGGGAAAGUCAGAUGUGAAAUCCGGAGGCUCAACCUCCGAAUUGCAUCCGAUACUCCCUCGCUAGAGGGUUGUAGGGGAGCUUGGAAUUCUCGGUGUAGCAGUGAAAUGCGUAGAUAUCGAGAAGAACGCUCGCAGCGAAGGCGAAGCUCUGGGCAACAUCUGACACUGAUGCACGAAGGCUAGGGGAGCAAACGGG
rnacentral:rRNA from 1 species